UAUUCAGGUCAGGAUUACAGGCGGGGCCCCAGACAGCCAGGGACCUCCAAACCUCUGUCCCGAGACCAAAAGAAGAACCAGGUUCUCGGUGUUACAGUUUGAAAUUACACUAAGGAUCCCAGCUAGUAUUUUCAGUUGUCUAAUGUUAGCUCUCUGCAAAAAAAAAAACUUAUGAAAUAUAAUAGCAGUAUAAAUGUAUUUUUCAUAUGCAAAGAAGGCGAGAUGAACAUUUAGAAAUAAUUGGCUAAAUCUCUAAACAUUACAUUUUAUUAAAAAUUCCUUAAAAUAUUUAUACUUGAAUAUUUUAAACGAAACUACAUUUUGAUGUUACUUUUUUUAUGUUAUAUUUUUGUAAUACAUUUUUUCACUGAAUUUUACAAGAAAACUUGUUUCAAACAUUUUGUUCGUUUCGUGUUCCGCUGAAUUACAACUGCAGUACUUCAAGUGAGCAGUAGGGGGCGCUCCGCGAUCAGUAACUCACUUCUUGGCUUUAAUUUCAAUUGGGUUUUUUCCAAAAACAAACUAAAGCUUUUUUUUAUUUUUUUUAUGACUUGUCUGAACUCGUGUGAUUGGAAUCGAAUAUUCAAAUAACCUUGAUUGUUCAAACAUGUGCUCCAUUUAAAGAAACCCAUCUUCAUGCUAACAUGUUCACAAAAAAGCAGCUAGAAAUCCACAGGCCUUCUUAAACCACAUCUGUCCGUCAGACGCUCAUGACAGGAGUCUUCAGCUGUAAUAUUUUCUCUUGUGUGCGUGUAUGUGAGUGUGUGUAAACACAGUCCAACUGAUAUCCAAGCAUUUCCUAUAGCACUAACUUGCCCAAAUAGCAAAACCUCAGCUUCAAAUCAAUCAUUUUGAGCACAUUUGCACUCUUAUGAUCUCACACGGACUGUUGCUGUGAUAAACAAGGGACUUUUUGAAUGUUUUUGAUUCCAAUGCCAUAAAUAUGCUUUCAUCUGUACUUACUGUAUGUACAGUACCCUAUAUGGAACACUUCAAAACCACUUUGUGCUAGUUUUAACUGGAUUCAGUUUAAUGCUCUAAAUGACAUUUUAUCUGACACUACUGGUCUGAGGCGACUGGUUUGUGUCUCUGUCAACUGUUCUGAGAAGGUCCAAAAUCAGUUUCAUGUGCCUACACAGACUCUUAGAUUGUAUCAGAGGUGAUGUAUGUAACAUCAGCCGAGCUGUUCAUCCCAUUUCCUGUGACAAAAACUAUACGUAACGUAUAUAUAGUAUACUAUGACGUAAUCAUAGUAUGUCCUUCCCUCCUUCAACUGUUCACUUGUUCUGGUGUCACUCAUUUUUCUCUCUCUGUCUUUGUCUUUCAGGGUGAUUCAGCAGUUUGGAAUCAAGUUACAGGCUACGGGGAGCAGUUAUUAACCGUUUUUUAUUUCCUUGUUGAAAAGAAAUUCAGAUUAGCUGGAUUUGAGACUAUAAAUGUAUUACUGAAAAAAAAAAAACAUUUCGUCAAAUCGUGUGCCAUUCUUCUAACGCCCACACGUGAAAAAAAGUGCUGAAAUGAAAUGUCAUUGUAAAUCCUAUGAUAAGACUGAUUCAUCUUAUGCUGAAACACACACACAUGCUUACAUUUCCUAUGAUCAGAAUGAUGCUGCAAAUGAAGUAUACACUCAUAAGGACUGUAUUUAAAUGAAUUUGGGUGUAAACCAACAGGAAACUAUCAUUUAAAGGACUGGACUGGAUGAGAGGUGUCAUCAUAGGAAUGAAUGGUAUUGUUCCAGAAAGCUCCGCAGAUGCUAAAGACUGAAGUGUUUGUAAACUUGUCUGACAGUCUAACUCUGUCCAUAUGUGUGUAAUCACACUGUAAGUGGGUUGAACUUACAGCAGAAGUGAGUGUGUUCUCAAGUAUGCAUUUGUGUGCACGCAUGUAGUUCACACUAGUGAGGAAUGAGUGUGUGUGUAUGUGUGUGAGUGUGAGUCAGGGCACUCCCUAACACUCGUGGUACAUUGACGUAAAAGACAAGACAGGACAGGCUGAUCCAACUACUUGGGAAAAACACUGAGGUGGGCGGGGCUUAGUACAGGAAGUGCACUUAAAAAGACAGCGAACACGAAACUUCUGCUGGGGCUCGGGGUCACUUAUGGGUUCAGGUAUCAAGCAGCUGCUGCUUAUUAUUUCUGGCAUUUAAGAAUGCUGAAAACAAACACAACUUCUAUGAAACUCUAUUUGGAAGGCUGUCAAUUACUCAACCCCGUCCUGCAUGAUGCGAGCGGUACGGCCCAACGUCGUGGCGGUCGUCGUGAGCCACUGCGCAAGCGUCAGAAAGCAGAAUAGCAGAAGUGCAACAGUGUCGAAAUCUGGGCCAGUGUCCUGCUGGGUCAUGGCUCCACCUCUUACGGCCAUUGUGGACGCCUGAGUUCCCGGCAGCCGUGCCGCAAGGACCACCGGAUGUUCACCGCCAGCGUCAUCCACUCGAGCCCAAGAAAAAGAAGAAUGGUGAUAUAAAAAAGUCAAGAAACAGGGAAGUGGUGGAUGAAUGAAAGGUUUUGCCAUUGGUACAUCGCAGCACUUUCAAUCUGCUGAGCUCAUCCCCUCCAGAAAACUUACUUUGCUACUCCAAACAAUAGACCGCAAUGAUUCUAUAUAGUCACCUUGUAUUUCUUCUUUUCAUAAACACUUUGGAGGUGUAAAUGGUAUGAUUGGAGUCUGAAUAAGCCUCAUUUGAAUGCAGGUUUGAGUCGCAUAGGCCACAUCUCAGUCCUGUUUCCACUCUCUUCCUGUUGCUUCUGCACAAUAGUGUAAAAAUAAGAUAAAAUAAUAAAAGAUUUAAACUCUCUCA